UACGGAGGGCACAAGCGUUGUUCGGAAUUAUUGGGCGUAAAGCGGGUGUAGGCGGUUUUGAAAGUCGGGUGUGAAAUCCCUGGGCCCAACCCAGGAACUGCAUCCGAUACUGCAAAACUAGAGUCCCGGAGAGGAUGGCGGAAUUCCAGGUGUAGAGGUGAAAUUCGUAGAUAUCUGGAGGAACACCAGUGGCGAAGGCGGCCAUCUGGACGGUGACUGACGCUCAGACCCGAAAGCGUGGGGAGCAAAC
rnacentral:rRNA from 1 species